UCCCGACCUGCGUCGCACAGGUGCGGGGCGAUGCCGAAGGCUCCGAGCGGCGGGGCGGGCGCAGGUUGAAGGCGUCUAAUGCUGGGGCUCCGCCGCCAGGAGCAGCAGGACGCGGAGGGGUCGCAGAGCCGCGCAGCGCUGCGGAGGAGGCAUCUGAAGCGAAGUGGAGCCGGGGGCCAGGACCACCAGCCACCUGAUGGCUGAACUCUGUGACCCCUGGAGCCUGUUUCAGCCUCACGCUGUCAGAAAGCAGCUGUUUGGAAAGAGGCUCUGGUUCAUCCUGACUCGAGGGCUGAUACUCUGAAUGGUUUCUCAUAUCCCUGAUCUGGAAGAGGACUCAGACGUCAUCAAUGACAAGUGAAGAGAUGGAAGCCCAGAGGCCAGAGGCUUGUCGGAGGCACGGGAUUCACAGAGCGGGGCCGGGACUCCAAACAGCAGCCGUGCUCGCUGUACAGGUGCGGGAGGGCAGCUGGCUCUGACUUAGUUUCCCCUCCCUGAGACCCCACGGUGCUCGGGGCGCACCCAGAGAUCCGAAACCCUGUGGCCCACACGGGGAAUAAAGGAAAAGCAAGGGCGCAUGUCAGGGCUCCAGGUGGGACCCUCGCGCUGCCCCCGGCCACUUGCCCUGGAAACAAACCCCUCAGGCCGCAGGGCCCUGACCCUCAGGCCGCCUCCCAGCCCCCGACGACGCCAUUCACUGGAGCUUAGAAACAGAAUUUAAGAUGACACACACAGGACUCAAAUGAGGCACAGCAGAGGCAAAGGCCACCCCUGGGAAGCCGUGAGGCUUCUUCGGGAACAAACGUGCCUGAGAGUCACCUGCGGGGCUCCCACCACGCUCCAUGAGUAGCAAGGAUGGUCACAGGCCCCGCUCAGUUAGGCAGGACCGGGCCCACAGAGAGAAGGUCACUGAGGGAGGAGAGUCGUGAGCAGGAUGCGGAUGGGGCUGCCGACCCCAGGGCCACCUCCCCAGGUCAUAGCUGCUAAGAAAAUUGAUGUCACAAGACAGGGAUGUCCAUCUGCUGGGGCUCCUCAGGUACGUCCCUCCCUAGAGACGUCCCAUGCACGGAACAUUGCACAUCAACCCCUACAGGGGUCACACUACUCAUUUUCGUGGGGUGUACGAAUGUUUAUCAUCAAACUGCUGGCGUCAGGAAAUCACCUAGAGAUGGAGACAGGCGGGAACCACGACGCCCGGGCAGGCGCUCCAGUCGGAAGGACCCAGGCCUCUGCCAGGCUUGGGGUGAAGCCUCCUCAGGGCCCGGCUCUCCAGUCCCGUGGGCACCAGCGCUCAGGGCUGGCAGCAGGACCCUCAGACAGACACCGUCAGGGUUCACACCAGGCCCACAGCCCCCACGGGGCACCUGAGUCCUCACCACCAGCUGUCCCCACAGCCACCGCCUUGCUGGCUCCCUGGUGGCCUCCGCUCUCUUCCUGCACUCAGUCCUGCUGGCAGGUCCAGUGCAGAGUCUACCCUCCUUCACAAUGGGGCAAAGGGCAGGCCCACGGCUCCUCUACUCCCUCACCCCAAGGACUGCCUGGAGCCACGCGCUGCCCCCCUCUCCUGCUUUGAAAAACCGACCUCGGCAGUGAGGGGCCCGCCCAGCUUAUCCCUCCACAACCACCCGCACCCACCCAAGCCUGACUUGCCAAGAUCCUGGAAGCCCAACUGCCGAAGAAACCAGAACCCACUAGAACACGAGGCCGGGAGGGACGCUCGGCACAGCACCCACCAGGAUGCCGCGGCAUGCCAGCCCGUGCCAACACACGCGACGAUGGCACGUGCACCAGGAGCGGCACUGCCCAGGCUCCAAGGCAUCCAGUUUCUUGCAAGAAACCUCAGUGGCUGCCCAGGAGGCUGCGUCCCUCCCCAGGGCACAGCUCCAGUGUCCAGAACGGGAACCCGCCCUCCAGGGCCUGUCCUAAGACCAGCCGGGGGUUCUGGGGGGAGCAUGAAAAGGCAGCUGGGGAAACAAGGGAGACUGGGGGGCCGGCUCCCACACACACGGCUCCUGGGCCCCUCCAAGACGUUUGCAGUGAGCCAGGCAGAAUAUGUAAGAGACAGUGAGAAAAACACAUGCUGACGGGGAGAUGAAAGCAUUCUUGGCACCUUCUUCUGAAAAACAAAGCACAAAAGUGAAAUAAAGAGCACUAGAGCUCUCUCUAUUGACUGCAGUGACACAGCACCAGGUACCCGGGGGCAGGGGUCCAUUCACAGUCACUGA